UACUGGUGUGUGUACGAGUGUGUGUGAGAGAGUGUGUGAGAGUGUGUGUGUGUGAGUGUAUGUGUGAGUAUGUGUGUGUGUGUCCCAGUGAGUUGCUUUCAGGAGCGUGGAUGACAGAUUAACAACGAAGCACCUAGGGCGAAUCAUCAAUCAAGGAAUUGAAUCUGCAUUGUGUGGCAGAGCUGUUAUCUCAUGCUUGGACGACCACAUCUGGAUUUCUCACAGGGUGAUGGAUGUGGCUCUAACUUCA
rnacentral:lncRNA from 1 species